GGCGGUGUAGCUCAGUUGGUUAGAGCAGCGGAAUCAUAAUCCGCGUGUCGGGGGUUCGAAUCCCUCCACCGCUA
rnacentral:tRNA from 4 species